rnacentral:lncRNA from 1 species
GGAAAAAUGGACAUCGCAACUUUUAUCAGACUUGAAAACUUCUGCUGAAAAUCCUCCUAAUGAAAGAACUUUAAAUAAUGAUUAUGAAUCUGUUUAUUCAUCAGACAUACAAAAAAACCCUGAAGGGGUGUCAGCUCUUACUGACACCGAUUGGAUUGUUGAUUGUGCUAAUCCAACAGACGAUUCCACAGAUAAAUGAAUGGUUACGAUAUCGAGAACAACGUAAUCGUCAAAAUGUCUGCACUUAAUUGUACUUAUUUUGUACGUUAUUUUCGUAUUUUCUGCUCGUUAAAAUAACACAGAAAUGCAAACAAAAAAUUUACGCCAAAUAAUAUAA